AUUGAACGCUGGCGGCAGGCCUAACACAUGCAAGUCGAACGGUAGCACAGAGAGCUUGCUCUCGGGUGACGAGUGGCGGACGGGUGAGUAAUGUCUGGGAAACUGCCCGAUGGGGGGGGAUAACUACUGGAAACGGUAGCUAAUACCGCAUAAUGUCGCAAGACCAAAGAGGGGGACCUUCGGGCCUCUUGCCAUCGGAUGUGCCCAGAUGGGAUUAGCUUGUUGGUGAGGUAAUGGCUCACCAAGGCUACGAUCCCUAGCUGGUCUGAGAGGAUGACCAGCCACACUGGAACUGAGACACGGUCCAGACUCCUACGGGAGGCAGCAGUGGGGAAUAUUGCGCAAUGGGCGCAAGCCUGAUGCAGCCAUGCCGCGUGUGUGAAGAAGGCCUUCGGGUUGUAAAGCACUUUCAGCGGGGAGGAAGGCAAUGCGGUUAAUAACCGUGUUGAUUGACGUUACCCGCAGAAGAAGCACCGGCUAACUCCGUG
rnacentral:rRNA from 1 species